UAAUGGAGAAAUGUGGCUCUGUAGUGGACACCUGUGAGGCAGUGGACAGACAGCUGCUGAAGUCUGAUGCUGGUUGACAAUAAACAGACCUCUCUGGACGUACCCCAUAUUUUGCAGAGAAAUUAUACCAUUGCUCUCCUGUUACAUGAUGAUCCUGCUGUCCUGGACUGUAUAUGAUGAGCCUACACAUAAUCUCAGAACAGCUGUGGUAAUAACAGGAGACCCAUUUGGUGAGAGCAGCACUGCAGACUUUACUGAUGGUGAGGAGCUUCUUGCUGAUGAACCUGCCGACAUGAGUUCACCUUACUAUGAGUAACUGUGUUCUGUUCAACCUUAUAUAGAAAAGCAAUUAAAAGUACACUAAAGCACACUGUU